rnacentral:rRNA from 1 species
UACGGAGGAUGCAAGCGUUAUCCGGAAUGAUUGGGCGUAAAGCGUCCGCAGGUGGCUGUGUAAGUCUGCUGUCAAAGAGCAAAGCUCAACUUUGUAAAGGCAGUGGAAACUACACGGCUAGAGCGCGUUCGGGGCAGAGGGAAUUCCUGGUGUAGCGGUGAAAUGCGUAGAGAUCAGGAAGAACACCGGUGGCGAAGGCGCUCUGCUAGGCCGCAACUGACACUGAGGGACGAAAGCUAGGGGAGCGAAUGGG